CGGGCGGAGGCUCCCUCAGCAGGCCUCACCGCUGGGGAGGUGCCGGUACCGCCAGCCGGCCCGGCAGUGCCUGGUGGGUCCGGGAGCGAGCUGCAGCUGGCAGCGAGUGAAAACAUGCCCCAGUGACAAGGGGCUAUUGUUCCUCGAGCAAAGGCGGUGGUGGACGGGCACCGGGGGUGCUUGCCAACCUCCCACCUCGAUAAGGGCGAGGAGAGUGCUUGGAGGGCCGGAACGAGAGGGAGCGUGGCCAUGGGUGCCUCUGCCAUGCUCACGAGGCAGGGGACACCACGGAGGACGUGGCAGUGCUGCUGGGGCUGUGGUAAACUGGCAGUGGGUUGUCACUGCCCCUGAGUAGCCGCCAGAGCCACAGACAAAGCACAGGGACUCUGUGUGUGCUCAGGGAGUCACCAUGCAUCAGUGGGCUGACAGCCUCUGUCACCAUUCCUGGGGAAUGCUGGUUGCCUUCAGCUACCGCUGGCUCCACUGGAUUGAAAGGAAGAGAAUGGGCUGGCUUGGGGCUUCUUGAGACCAGGGCACUCUUCCCUAAGUGGGAUUGAGUGCUGAAUCUGCCCUGCUGUGUGCAGGGGGCAGGCUAAACCCAUGCCAGAGGCUGCAGAACAUGGUUGAGAAAUCGAACUCCGGAGUUGUGGCAGAAGCCACGUCCUUGGAUUUCAGAGUCUGACAGAGGAACGUGACCCGGUAGCACGUAUCAUGUGGUGGAACGCACAGGGGACUUGGCAAUACUUCUUGCUAUAGCAGGUCUCAAAACUGCUUAAUGUCCAGGAAGACCUCCCACUGGAGCCCUGUGUGCAUGCGUAAGACCCUUCAGAUGUCCCUCACUGCAUUUAAUAAGUGCAUCCUUCACAGGCUGCAACUGACAUCCACACCAUGGAAGCUGUGGAUGGCACAGUGGGGCAGGAUCAUGUGAGUCAGACAGAUGUUAUGUGCAGGGCAUGGGCUGUGCCACCUCAGACCUCUUGGGCAGUGCUCCUUGGGAAGACUGUCCAUAGGUGAGGUGCCAAGCUGUCCUGUCACCAGCUCAGAAUCGAUCUGUGAGCCCUGAAGGUUACACAGAGUUCUCCCUCAAUCUCUCUGCACUGCUUUUGCAACCUAGAACAUCUUUCAGAGACCUCCAGUCUGGAAAGCCCUCCCUGGCUGGGGUGUUUUCCUUUUGCUCUGAGGCUCUCCUGGUGUUUGCUCACAGUGUGUGGAGCUGACCUCAAGUGGCAGCGUUCAGAGAAAGGCAAAGAGCUGCUUGAACAAGAACCUGCUCGGGUUGUGCUGAAGCGGUGGAGGAUGGGGGGAAGGGGAGGAAGAAGGAGCUCAGCAUCCCAGAGGAGGCGAGUGAAGGGCAAAAUGGAAGAGGGAUGAAUGGCGCCGCUGCCCUCAACUCCACCUUCUCCCGCCUACUGCUGGCUUCUGGCAGGCAGCCUCCCCCAGCAUCCCCCUCGCCCUCAGUCAGCCAAAGGGCAGCCACAGCGGAAGCAUUUUAAAAGCAAACCAAGUAUCACGUGGUGAAGGUAAAUAAACAGCACGCUGAAAAAUC